rnacentral:rRNA from 1 species
GCCUAUAUGAAGUCGGAAUUGCUAGUAAUCGCGGAUCAGCAUGCCGCGGUGAAUACGUUCCCGGGCCUUGUACACACCGCCCGUCACACCAUGAGAGUCGAUAACACCCGAAGCCUGUAGUCUAACAGCAAUGAGGACGCAGUCGAAGGUGGGAUUGAUAAUUAGGGUGAAGUCGUAACAAGGUAAC